rnacentral:rRNA from 1 species
AGAGUUUGAUCAUGGCUCAGGAUGAACGCUGGCGGUAUGCUUAACACAUGCAAGUCGAACGAAGCCUUUCGAGGCUUAGUGGCGGACGGGUGAGUAACGCGUGAGAAUCUGCCUUGAGGUUUGGGACAACAGCUGGAAACGGCUGCUAAUACCAAAUAUGCACAACUGUGAAAGGGGUUUUCCCCGCCUCGUGAUGAGCUCGCGUCUGAUUAGGUAGUUGGUUGGGGUAAUGGCCCACCAAGCCUUCGAUCAGUAACUGGUGUGAGAGCACGACCAGUCACACGGGCACUGAGACACGGGCCCGACUCCUACGGGAGGCAGCAGUAAGGAAUAUUGGUCAAUGGAGGCAACUCUGAACCAGCCAUGCCGCGUGAAGGAUGAAGGUCCUCUGGAUUGUAAACUUCUUUUAUGUGGGAAGAAAUGCAUUCUUUAUAGAGUGUUUGACGGUACCAUAGGAAUAAGCACCGGCUAACUCCGUGCCAGCAGCCGCGGUAAUACGGAGGGUGCGAGCGUUAUCCGGAUUCACUGGGUUUAAAGGGUGCGUAGGUGGGGAAGUAAGUCAGUGGUGAAAUCUCCGUGCUUAACAUGGAAACUGCCAUUGAUACUAUUUUUCUUGAAUUUUCCGGAGGUUAGCGGAAUAUGUCAUGUAGCGGUGAAAUGCUUAGAUAUGACAUAGAACACCAAUUGCGAAGGCAGCUAACUACAGGGAUAUUGACACUGAGGCACGAAAGCGUGGGGAUCAAACAGGAUUAGAUACCCCCGUAGUCC